ensembl:snRNA U6 U6 spliceosomal RNA
UUGCUAAACUUAAUAUAACAGCACAUACACUAAAAUUGGAAUAAUAUGGAAAAGAUUGGCAUGAUCCCUGAAUAAGGAUGAUACACAAUUCAUGAAGUGUUCCACAUUUUU